CACAAAAUUGCUGGUUUCUGAAAGACAAGAAGAAGCAUCUCUGGACCCAGAUGGAAGAGAUGGAACAUCAGACUGAAAAGAAGAGAAAUGACCAGGAACUUUCCUCUUUAGAAAAUCUUAUCCUGAAGAUGCAAGAUGAACUCCUGCAGGCUGCAAAGAGCCUUUCGCAGAGGAGUGAGAAGAAGGAAACAUUUAAGAAGUCAGUGGC